UACAGAGGGUGCAAGCGUUAAUCGGAAUUACUGGGCGUAAAGCGCGCGUAGGUGGUUCGUUAAGUUGGAUGUGAAAUCCCCGGGCUCAACCUGGGAACUGCAUUCAAAACUGACGAGCUAGAGUAUGGUAGAGGGUGGUGGAAUUUCCUGUGUAGCGGUGAAAUGCGUAGAUAUAGGAAGGAACACCAGUGGCGAAGGCGACCACCUGGGCUAACACUGACGCUCAGGCACGAAAGCGUGGGGGAGCAAACAGG
rnacentral:rRNA from 1 species